GCGCAACUGAGUCAGCAGAUGGGAUUUAUGACAACAAAAUACACCCAAAUAUACUCCCGUGAGAAGGCAAGGUUUUAAUUCUCAAAAUUCUCGAAUAAAAAUCUCGAACAAAAAUUUGACGCAGACGGUACUGGUAUUACGGGUAAAGGGGUGUCACUGUUAGACACCCCUAAGUGAGUGACAAGUGGCGGCUUAGUUUAGUGAAUGAGAACGGGAGGUUCGAAAAUGGGAAGAACAGAGGGAGACAAUCCUCAAGUUUUAGAGGGAAAGCCUCAUCCUGAUCAUUACUCAAGCGUUUUAGGAAAUGAACACGGAAAACGAGAAACACAGGCCGAGGACAGUCAAGGGGGAGAGGGUGUGGUCGGCUGCGGAGAAAAAGAUCCAGAGGCUCGGAUGGAAAACAUGGAGGCCUUACUAAAAUAUAUUAAGAAUAAACUUGGAGUUUUGGAACGACGUCAGCAAUAUCGAGACGAUCCAAGCACAGCGUUUUUUGAAGCAAUUUUUGGAAUGUACCCAAGAAUGUGGGAAAAUGGAUGGUUUCGAGGAAUUGCUUUAUUUGUCUACGGGGUCAUCAUCGUUCUCCUUGGAGUUUACAUCAAAGAGUACGGUCUGUGUGCAGAGAGGACGUGGAUUGAUUUGUUUUCCAUUGCCUUCAUGGGUGUGGUAGUGGGAAAUGUUUUUCUCCUGAUGGUGACAAAGAUUCUGGAAUUAAUAGCUCAAUGUAAAUUGGAAGAGGAAAUCAGAAGCUUGCAAGCUGAAAAUGCUCUACUUCGGAAGGGUAAAUGACGCCAGAAACGUUUCCUUUUCCAUGCAAAAAUCUCAUGAAAACAACCAUUGAAAACUGGGCAAUCGACAACUGUGACUCUUCACGUAUGAGUAUGUAACACACUUUCUCCUUGUCCAGUCAUCUGGUCCGUGUGAAUUUAAUGGACAACAUUUUUACGUAACAAUUUUUUUAAUUAUUGUGUCGGAAACUUACAAAAACUUCGUAGGUUUUAAGUUAAGUUAGUACAAUAAUUAGGCUACGGUUAAAAAACGUGGUGUUUUUAAAAUAUUUUGAUCACAAAUUUAUGUAAAUUGCUUGAAACAAAACUAAAAUAUAUUUUAAACAUAAAUAUUUAAUUUAAAUAGAGUCUUAAAUUACAAACUAAUAAUCAUGACGGCUUCAAUUAUUGUGAAACUCGAGUUGAGCAACCAACUCGACCUGUUACACAAUCAUCUUAUCGAGACGUGCCAAGUUAUUCAAGAUUUCCUGGAAAUUGAAAAUGGAGUUGGUCCAACUUCCAGCGAGAAUUUAAAUUUAAAACAAACCUUAUACAAAUUUGUGACUCAAAUGUCCUCUUUUACCUCGAACGUGACAAGUCUGCAGGUCAAAUUGAACAAGUACCAAGCAGAUGACGGGGAUCCAAAGCCUUAUCACAGCGACGUUAUCGAAAAAGGUGAAAAUAUGGAGGUCAAAGUGAAAAAGUACGAAACACACGGAGGUAACGUCAACCACGUUAUCAAGAAUGCUAAAAACACGCUGCAGCAGGGCGACCUUAUCGAGGAAGAUAAGAAAAGAAACGGUUACAAGUUUCCACCCGGGCGGGUGUAAAAUCAAAAUGCAAGAGCUCGAAGUGGUGGCAUCGGACGAGGAGGGUGACGACGACGAAGAAUGCGAAGAAGAGGAAGACCUCCUCCCGUAUGAAAUGGAGGAAGUCGAACCAUUUCCGGUCGGAGAAGAGGGAUACGACGAACACGAAGAAGAGGACGAUUUCGAUUUCAAUUAUGAUGAGUAUCCAGCUGAAACGGGAUCUUCGCCCCCAGAAUAUGAAUAUGACAUGCAUCCUGUCCAAGUGGAAUAUUCUACACCUCCGAAUUUACCUGCCGAACGGAAAUCUUCCUCCAGAAAGCAAAUCAUUGGUCUCAUCCUCAGAAAUAUUGACGAAACUCCUAUCGUUCAGAAACCUAAACCUGUAAGGUUCAUAUUUUACGAAUACAAUUUUACAAUUAAAACGUUAAUUCAUUAGUUAACAUUGGA